GUGUCAGCAGCCGCGGUAAUACGUAGGUGGCAAGCGUUGUCCGGAAUUAUUGGGCGUAAAGCGCGCGCAGGCGGUCUUUUAAGUCUGAUGUGAAAGCCCCCGGCUCAACCGGGGAGGGUCAUUGGAAACUGGGAGACUUGAGGGCAGAAGAGGAGAGUGGAAUUCCAAGUGUAGCGGUGAAAUGCGUAGAUAUUUGGAGGAACACCAGUGGCGAAGGCGGCUCUCUGGUCUGUUACUGACGCUGAGGCGCGAAAGCGUGGGGAGCAAACAGGAUUAGAAACCCGCGUAGU
rnacentral:rRNA from 1 species